rnacentral:rRNA from 1 species
CAAGAGCGUAUAUUAAAGUUGCUGCGGUUAAAAAGCUCGUAGUUGGAUUUCAGUCUAGGAAGGUUAACUCGCCGAAAGGUUGUACGUUGAUUUUCCUCAGACUUCGUCAGAAGCUCGUGCUGCACUUAACUGUGUGGUACGAUGUUCUGACCUUUUACCUUGAGGAAAGUAGAGUGUUUCAGGCAGGCUACCCAGCUUGAAUACAUUAGCAUGGAAUAAUGAAAUGGAUCUCGGUUCGAUUUCGUUGGUUCUAGAGCUGAGGUGAUGAUCAAUAGGAACAGGCGAAGGUAUUCGUACUUGAGAGUGAGGAGUGAAAUCCGAUGAUCUCUUAAAGACGAUCCGAGGCGAAAGCAUUUGUCAAGGAUGUUUCCAUUGA